rnacentral:rRNA from 1 species
GACGAACGCUGGCGGCGUGCCUAAUACAUGCAAGUAGAACGCUGAAGGAGGAGCUUGCUUCUCCGGAUGAGUUGCGAACGGGUGAGUAACGCGUAGGUAACCUGCCUGGUAGCGGGGGAUAACUAUUGGAAACGAUAGCUAAUACCGCAUAACAGUAGAUAUUGCAUGAUAUCUGCUUGAAAGGUGCAAUUGCAUCACUACCAGAUGGACCUGCGUUGUAUUAGCUAGUUGGUGGGGUAACGGCUCACCAAGGCGACGAUACAUAGCCGACCUGAGAGGGUGAUCGGCCACACUGGGACUGAGACACGGCCCAGACUCCUACGGGAGGCAGCAGUAGGGAAUCUUCGGCAAUGGACGGAAGUCUGACCGAGCAACGCCGCGUGAGUGAAGAAGGGUUUCGGAUCGUAAAGCUCUGUUGUAAGAGAAGAACGAGUGUGAGAGUGGAAAGUUCACACUGUGACGGUAUCUUACCAGAAAGGGACGGCUAACUACGUG